UACGUAGGGUGCAAGCGUUGUCCGGAAUUAUUGGGCGUAAAGAGCGUGUAGGCGGCCCGAUUCGUCCGCUGUGAAAGUCCAGGGCUCAACCCUGGGAUGCCGGUGGAUACUGUCGGGCUCGAGUCCGGAAGAGGAGUGUGGAAUUCCUGGUGUAGCGGUGAAAUGCGCAGAUAUCAGGAGGAACACCAAUGGCGAAGGCAGCACUCUGGGACGUGACUGACGCUGAGACGCGAAAGCGUGGGGAGCAAACAGG
rnacentral:rRNA from 1 species